UGUUUCUUCUUCUUCUUG
rnacentral:sRNA from 1 species